rnacentral:tRNA from 1 species
CGGCCUCUAGCUCAGUUGGUAGAGCAACUGACUCUUAAUCAGUAGGUCGCGGGUUCGAAACCCGCGGGGCCGACAA